GAUCAUUACUGAUUUGCUUAUUGCACCACAUGUGUUUUUCUUUGAAACAAACUUGCUUUGGCGGUGGGCCCAGCCUGCCGCCAGAGGUCUAAACUUACAACCAAUUUUUUAUCAACUUGUCACACCAGAUUAUUACUAAUAGUCAAAACUUUCAACAACGGAUCUCUUGGUUCUCGCAUCGAUGAAGAACGCAGCGAAAUGCGAUACGUAAUAUGAAUUGCAGAUAUUCGUGAAUCAUCGAAUCUUUGAACGCACAUUGCGCCCUCUGGUAUUCCGGAGGGCAUGCCUGUUUGAGCGUCGUUUCUCCCUCAAACCGCUGGGUUUGGUGUUGAGCAAUACGACUUGGGUUUGCUUGAAAGACGGUAGUGGUAAGGCGGGAUCGCUUUGACAAUGGCUUAGGUCUAACCAAAAACAUUGCUUGCGGCGGUAACGUCCACCACGUAUAUCUUCAAACUUGAC
rnacentral:misc_RNA from 1 species